rnacentral:misc_RNA from 1 species
UCGGUCAUACCUUGGCAGAGUGCGUGUUUGGGGUUGACCCAUCGGUGGAAACUUAGCUGC